GGGGAAGGCAGACCCCGGUCUAGAGAGACUCUCCCCAGGUGGGUGCAGGAGGAAACAUCUAGAAUGUUCCAGCAGUACUGUCUCUUGGGAUGAACGGCUGCAACUACCUCGUCUGGCCCAGUCUCUCUCUUGCUGGCUCUGAUGAAGCAUGAGGCCGUGUUGAAGUGGCCCAUGGGGCAGGGAGCCGAGGGUGGCCUCUGACUGACAGCCAGCAAGAGACUGCAGCCCUCAGUCCUGUAACUGCCGGGAGCCGAAUUCUGCCGACAACCACGGGACCUCAAGCAGGUGCAUCCCCAGUAGGCACCACGCUCAUUGUGGAGCCCGACACGCGGCUUGACCCUCACGAACCGUGAGAUCAUGACCUGAGCUGAGAUCAAGAGUCGGAUGCUUAACUGACUGAGCCACGCAGGCGCCCCUCAAUUUUUAAAAUCAUAUGAAGAAAAGAGAGGAAAAUGCAGUGUGCAGAGGUGCUGAGUGCUGGAAAUGACAGAGGGACGCAUGUGGCCGGGGUAAAUGGAGACAUAUGCGGGACCGCAGGGAUCGACCUAUGUUCCAGAAUGAACCUGGAACCACAUUAUUAUGCAAAGUAACCAUUUUCACCCGAAUCACAGAAGCAAGUUUUCUGGAACUGAAAGGAAUUUUAAAGUCCAUCGGCAAUCUAUACUUAGAAUAGUCCAGAAAAUAUUAAAACACAACAACGAGGAAUUUAUAUUGGCAGAUACAACCAUUACUCUGACUGUACAAGGUACAUUAAAAUGGGAGCUGGAGGCGGCUACGUGCUAGAAGACCCAGAAAGAGCCCGGGUAAAUACAUAGCACUCCUGAUCUGUGCGGAAGGGCCACGCUGUGCUGCAGUAGGGGUUCCUUGUUAUUUAAAAAA